UUUGGCAGUAAGCUCUCCUGUUGCAAUAUGUUCAUCUAACAGCCCAUGGAACU
rnacentral:sRNA from 1 species